rnacentral:rRNA from 1 species
UACAGAGGUCUCAAGCGUUGUUCGGAUUUACUGGGCGUAAAGGGCGCGUAGGCGGCAAUUCAAGUCAUCUGUGAAAUCUCCGGGCUUAACCCGGAACGGUCAGAUGAUACUGCUUUGCUAGAGUGCAGAAGGGGCAAUCGGAAUUCUUGGUGUAGCGGUGAAAUGCGUAGAUAUCAAGAGGAACACCUGAGGUGAAGACGGGUUGCUGGGCUGACACUGACGCUGAGUGCGCGAAAGCCAGGGGAGCAAACGGG